UGCUGGAGGUAUCAGAAGUGCGAAUGCUGACAUAAGUAACGAUAAAGCGGGUGAAAAGCCCGCUCGCCGGAAGACCAAGGGUUCCUGUCCAACGUUAAUCGGGGCAGGGUGAGUCGACCCCUAAGGCGAGGCCGAAAGGCGUAGUCGAUGGGAAACGGGUUAAUAUUCCCGUACUUGGUGUUACUGCGAAGGGGGGACGGAGAAGGCUAUGUUGGCCGGGCGACGGUUGUCCCGGUUUAAGCGUGUAGGUGUGUGUUCCAGGUAAAUCCGGUUCACUUUAACACUGAGGCGUGACGACGAGGCACUACGGUGCUGAAGCAACAAAUGCCCUGCUUCCAGGAAAAGCCUCUAAGCAUCAGGUAACAUCAAAUCGUACCCCAAACCGACACAGGUGGUCAGGUAGAGAAUACCAAGGCGCUUGAGAGAACUCGGGUGAAGGAACUAGGCAAAAUGGUGCCGUAACUUCGGGAGAAGGCACGCUGACACGUAGGUGAAGUGAUUUACUCAUGGAGCUGAAGUCAGUCGAAGAUACCAGCUGGCUGCAACUGUUUAUUAAAAACACAGCACUGUGCAAACACGAAAGUGGACGUAUACGGUGUGACGCCUGCCCGGUGCCGGAAGGUUAAUUGAUGGGGUCAGCGCAAGCGAAGCUCCUGAUCGAAGCCCCGGUAAACGGCGGCCGUAACUAUAACGGUCCUAAGGUAGCGAAAUUCCUUGUCGGGUAAGUUCCGACCUGCACGAAUGGCGUAAUGAUGGCCAGGCUGUCUCCACCCGAGACUCAGUGAAAUUGAACUCGCUGUGAAGAUGCAGUGUACCCGCGGCAAGACGGAAAGACCCCGUGAACCUUUACUAUAGCUUGACACUGAACAUUGAGCCUUGAUGUGUAGGAUAGGUGGGAGGCUUUGAAGUGUGGACGCCAGUCUGCAUGGAGCCGACCUUGAAAUACCACCCUUUAAUGUUUGAUGUUCUAACGUGGACCCGUAAUCCGGGUUGCGGACAGUGUCUGGUGGGUAGUUUGACUGGGGCGGUCUCCUCCUAAAGAGUAACGGAGGAGCACGAAGGUUGGCUAAUCCUGGUCGGACAUCAGGAGGUUAGUGCAAUGGCAUAAGCCAGCUUGACUGCGAGCGUGACGGCGCGAGCAGGUGCGAAAGCAGGUCAUAGUGAUCCGGUGGUUCUGAAUGGAAGGGCCAUCGCUCAACGGAUAAAAGGUACUCCGGGGAUAACAGGCUGAUACCGCCCAAGAGUUCAUAUCGACGGCGGUGUUUGGCACCUCGAUGUCGGCUCAUCACAUCCUGGGGCUGAAGUAGGUCCCAAGGGUAUGGCUGUUCGCCAUUUAAAGUGGUACGCGAGCUGGGUUUAGAACGUCGUGAGACAGUUCGGUCCCUAUCUGCCGUGGGCGCUGGAGAACUGAGGGGGGCUGCUCCUAGUACGAGAGGACCGGAGUGGACGCAUCACUGGUGUUCGGGUUGUCAUGCCAAUGGCACUGCCCGGUAGCUAAAUGCGGAAGAGAUAAGUGCUGAAAGCAUCUAAGCACGAAACUUGCCCCGAGAUGAGUUCUCCCUGAGACUUAGAGUCUCCUGAAGGAACGUUGAAGACGACGACGUUGAUAGGCCGGGUGUGUAAGCGCAGCGAUGCGUUGAGCUAACCG
rnacentral:rRNA from 1 species